AUUGAACGCUGGCGGUAUGCUUUACACAUGCAAGUCGGACGGCAGCGGGGGUGCUUGCACCUGCCGGCGAGUGGCGAACGGGUGAGUAACAUAUUGGAAUGUACCGAGUAGUGGGGGAUAACCAAUCGAAAGAUUGGCUAAUACCGCAUACGUCCUGAGGGGGAAAGCAGGGGAUUUGGACCUUGCGCUAUUUGAGCAGCCAAUAUUGAUUAGCUAGUUGGUGGGGUAAGGGCCCACCAAGGCGACGAUCAGUAGCGGGUCUGAGAGGAUGAUCCGCCACACUGGGACUGAGACACGGCCCAGACUCCUACGGGAGGCAGCAGUGGGGAAUUUUGGACAAUGGGGGCAACCCUGAUCCAGCCAUGCCGCGUGUCUGAAGAAGGCCUUCGGGUUGUAAAGGACUUUUGUUAGGGAAGAAAAGGAAA
rnacentral:rRNA from 1 species